rnacentral:rRNA from 1 species
GACGAACGCUGGCGGCGUGCUUCAUACAUGCAAGUCGAACGAGAAGUUACCUUCGGGUGAUGGAAAGUGGCGGACGGGUGAGUAAUAUGUAGGAAAUCUGCCCUUAAGAGGGGGACAACAGAGGGAAACUUCUGCUAAUACCCCAUAUGAGCGUAGCUGAAAUGCUAUUCUUGAAAAACUCCGGUGCUUAAGGAUGAGCCUGCAUCUGAUUAGCUAGUUGGGGGUGUAAUGGACCACCAAGGCGACGAUCAGUAGCUGGUUUGAGAGGAUGAUCAGCCACAAUGGGACUGAGACACGGCCCAUACUCCUACGGGAGGCAGCAGUCGGGAAUAUUGCGCAAAUGGAGGAAAACUCUGACGCAGUGACGCCGCGUAUAGGAAGAAGGUUUUCGGAUUGUAAACUAAUUGUCUGCAGGGAAGAAAACAAGACUGUACCUGCAAAAGAAAAGACUCCGGCUAAACUAACGUG